AACCGCCGUAUACCGAACGGUACGUACGGUGGUGUGAGGAGACAGCAGGGAAACUAAUUCCCUGCUUCUUACUCGAU
rnacentral:ncRNA from 2 species